GUCCGUUGUUCCUUUGCCCGUGAGUCUAGUAUUAUCGACAGUGAAACAAAAAUGCUACAUCGACGGGCAUAUUACGGAUUUACGGGCCAUCAAGAAUUGACGACUCGAAAGCCAAAACUAACCCAAUAGAACCAUGUAAGAGUCCGUGCAUGUAGCAUUGCCCAAGUGAAAACCCCGGUCACGGCAGCCCAGCUCUAUAUAAACCGCGCUGGCUCACUAACUUCAUGCAUCCAGAGUCCACCAAUUUUUGUUUCGAGCGGCGCCGCGAUGGAGUCACACGCCGUUCCUAGCGAGCAGCCCGCGUACAAGCCGCUGCCAUCCACCGCCAACGAGGACGCCCAUGAGCACCAGGGCGGCGGCGUGAGGUGGCGCGCGUGCGCUGCCGUGCUGGCGGCCUCGGCCGUGGUGCUCGUCGCCGCCACCACGCUAGGAAGAGGAGCCAGGGUGGACGAGGACGCCGGCGGGUUCCCGUGGAGCAACGAGAUGCUGCAGUGGCAGCGAGCCGCGUUCCAUUUCCAGCCGGAGAAGAACUUCAUGAGCGGUACGUGACUAGUUCGUUUUCAGAUUCAAAUUCCGUUUGUGUUUCUCUGGCGUGGUUUGAUCCACAAACUGAUGUUGCUGUCUUUGCUUUCUGUUUGCCGGCGGCGGCGGGCUACUCCGGCGACAUGCAGAUCCCAACGGUCUGGUAUACUACCGUGGAUGGUACCACCUGUUCUACCAGUACAACCCGAAGGGCAUCGCCUGGGCCUUUGGCAUUUUGUGGGGCCAUGCCGCGUCCCGAGACCUCGUCCACUGGCGCCAACUCCCAUUGGCUGUGCUUCCUGACCAGUGGUAUGACAUUCAAGGUGUCUUGUCAGGCAGCAUCACUGUGCUUCCUAACGGCACGCUCAUCAUGCUCUACACUGGUGCCACCAAUGUCUCCACCGUCGAGGUCCAGUGUGUUGCCGUGCCCGAAGACCCAAACGACCCCCUCCUCCGCCGCUGGACCAAGCACCCCGCUAACCCCGUCCUCUCCUCGCCACCGUGGAUCAGCACCAACGACUUCCGAGACCCCACCUCCGCGUGGUAUGAUGGCUCUGAUCACACAUGGCGCACCGUCCUCGGGUCCAAGGAUGAUCACAAUGGUCACCAUGCCGGCAUCGCCUUCAUGUACAAGACUAAGGACUUCCUUCACUAUGAGCUCGUCCCUGGCAUCUUGCACCGCGUCGAGAACACCGGCGAGUGGGAGUGCAUCGACUUCUACCCAGUCGGUGGCGACGACAACUCAUCACAAGUGUUAUACGUGCUCAAGGCGAGCAUGGACGACGAACGACAUGACUACUACUCGCUGGGGAGGUAUGACGCGGCGGCAAACACGUGGACGCCAGUGGACCCCGAGGCCGACUUGGGGAUCGGGCUGAGGUACGACUGGGGCAAGCUUUAUGCAUCCAGCUCAUUCUAUGAUCCGGUGAAGCGGCGGCGCAUUAUGAUGGGUUAUGUCGGUGAGGUCGACUCCGUGCAGGCCGACGUCGCCAAAGGAUGGGCCUCAAUCCAGUCAGUUCCAAGGACGGUGGCUCUGGAUGACAAAACCAGGACAAACCUCCUCUUAUGGCAUGUGGAGGAGAUCGAGACCCUUCGCCUCAAUGCCACCGAACUAAGCGACAUCACCAUCGAAACUGGCUCUGUCUUCCAUGUCCCUCUCCGCCAAGCUGAUCAACUCGACAUCGAGGCCUCCUUCCGCCUUGACGCUUCUGCUAUCACUGCCCUCAAUGAGGCCGACAUCGGCUACAACUGCAGCAGCAGCGGUGGUGCUGCCUCCCGCGGUGCGCUUGGCCCCUUUGGCCUCAUCGUCCUCGCAUCCAGCGACCGUUGUGGUGAGCAGACGGCGGUGUACUUCUAUGUGUCCAGGGGCCUCGACGGGGCCCUUCAGACCAGUUUUUGCCAAGACGAGUCACGUUCUUCACGAGCCAGGGACGUGACGAAGCGGGUGGUGGGAAGCACGGUACCAGUGCUAGAUGGUGAGGCUUUGUCGAUGAGGGUGCUUGUGGACCACUCCAUUGUGCAGAGCUUUGCGAUGGGCGGGAGGUGCACAGUGACAUCACGGGUGUAUCCUAUGGAGGCGAUCUAUGAGGCGGCAGGGGUGUACCUGUUCAACAAUGCCACCAACAGCAGUGUGAUGGCGGAAAGACUUGUCGUGCACGAGAUGGACUCCGCACCCAACGAGAUCAUCACGGAUGAUAAAUAUUUGCAUUUUGAAUGAAGAUCUUGUGUACCAACAGUGACCACCAAAGUAUUGGAUCAAAGAAUCCCAGGGAAGGAUAAGACAUAUCCAAAUAAUUUUACACGCCCUCGUCGGGGCUGAAACAUGUACAUUGGACUAUUUUGUUUUCCAUUCAUGACACUUUGAACAAUAAAUAUCCCUCGAUAUCUGGUUAUUGAGGUCAUCCAGUUUUUUGGGGGGCGGGAAAAAGGGAUAAAUAGCUAGUAGUAGUGCGGGUGCCCACGCUACUACUACGGCACUAUAGCUAAUUGUUAGUAGUAGCGUUGGUGCCACCCGUGCUAAUACUACGUCUGUUAGUAGUAGCGCGGGUGCCACCCGCGCUACUACUAAUUAUC
rnacentral:rRNA from 1 species